UUGUGAAAGAGCCACACUCAAGAGGCCAAGGAGCUGCAUGUGGCUCACAAACCACGGUUUGCCGACCACUGUUCUAGAUAGAAGUCAGGCUUCCGAUGCCCAAGUGGAUUUGAUCUGGUUUGCCUCUGACUAGACACCCCCCUCUCUGCUGGCAGGAAACUUGGAUCCAAUAUUCAUUCUUAAAAAGCUACACGUGCAUGUUCCCCUGAAGAAGCGAGACCAUACCCGCCUUCCCCUGGAAGCGGUGUGGCACUGAAAACGAGCUGUUGUCCUGCACUCUUGCUGGAAGCCACCUGACCACUGCCAGGAAGAAGAAUGCAAAACAUUCCCAGGAGCGGCUGUGACGUCAGUACCACAUUCCUCUCUCCGCGGUCAGGACUGUGGGGAAACUCCAGCCUCCAGCGAACCCUUCAGAUGAGAUAACAGCUGAGCCUGCACUAAAUCACGCUGAGAACUUCCCGAUGUUAUGCUUUAAAAAAGGAUAUUUUUUAUGAAAAGGAGGGAGGGCAGGAACAGAGGUGGCUUUUUAAGGCAUAUUUACUGUUAAUCUUCAAAAGUGCUUUUUUUGUUUGCUACGUGGAGAGAAAACAAGGAAAAAUGAUUUACCAACAAUCAUCAGCAUGCCAAUCACUUUGGGCCAGUGAUUUUCAACCAGGGCGCUGCAAGAAUUUUUAACAUAUGCAAAACCAACACUAUUUAGUCCAGAGCACUGAGCUCUGCCCUUAGAUUUGUAAAAUAAAACAACGUCAACAGCCAACACAACAGCUGACUAGUGUGAAUGAGUCAAAAUCAUACCUAUUUUUUUCUUUGUCAAAUUGGCAAAAAAUAUAUAUUUUUGGUGUUCCCUAGAAUUUUAGUAACUACUCUAUGUGUGCCAUUAGAUGAAAAAGCUUGAAAAUAGUUGCCUUAGACAUUCGUGUUAAAUGGGGUAAGAUGGACAACAGAAUAGUUUGGGCCUCAACCAGCAGAACUGCCUCAAUUACACAAGUCCAACAACCCAGGCUCCAAACUCCUUUCCAUGAGGAGAAGACAAAAAGUCCACUCGAGAAGGCAUACACACUUCAGGCAGUAGUAAAAGCAUUUUCCCUAAAGGGAAAUAUUGUAAAGAGAUACAAACUAAAUGGUGCACGCAUUGCAAAGAAAACACAAACAUUUAUUAUGCAUGAUCCUGUUAUAUGCAAUUUUCAUUUGUAACUUCCUAGACUAGUCUUCAACAAGCAUGUCUUUUGCAAAUAUCAAACACUUUCCCAUGCUGUAUAAUGAUCUUCCAUACUUUAUGAAACUCUAAACUGUAAAAUGUUUCUUGGGGAGAAGGGAGUCUUUUACAAAAAUGUUUCAAUGUUUUUGUAUGUUUUUGCUAAAAAUAUCCUUGGAAUAACUUUGCAGGCAUGGGUAACUAAA